ACAAACACGGGUACUUUAUCCACGCAUAAUAUAUAGGUACCUCUAAUAAACGUUAUUAAAUUAUAUUAUAUUCGAGUUUAAUUGUUUUACGUGCGUGCGUGCGUCGCAUACGCCCGUGUGAGUGAAAACGAGUGGUUUUUCUUUCUUUCUCCGACUCUUUUUGUUUUAUAAUAUAUUAUGUCAUAUUAUUUUUUAACUCUUCGAUCGAGGACGUAGGUAUUGUUAUUAUAGUGUGUAUCGUCGUUUGCCAGCGGUCGUCGUCGUCGUAAAAAGUCUGAGAAAAAAGGUGCAAAUAUAUUAACCUUUGAGCUAAUAAUAUCGACAAAUAUACUGUGCACAUAAGAGCUUAUUACAGAACUGCAGCACGAUGAAAAAAGAAAAAAAAGUUUAAUUGCGGCAUAGUUGAAUCGAAAUCGUUCGUUAACUUAAGCCGAUUAGCUGAGAAACGCAUGUGAAUACCCUACAUCAACGUUUCCGGUACUUGCAACAAAUAAAAUUGUCGGCAGUUAAACAGCCGCUACAGGUAGCGGCUCUAGCUCGUUCAAAGAUCAUUAUUAAACCGCGGCACGAACAUUUGGCGUGAUUUACACACAAAAAUGUUUACAAUAUCAAUCAAAACAAAAUACACACAAACUGAUGAUACUAACAGCGAUUACUGAUCAUCAUCAUUGCCGUGCAUUGAUCACCUUGAUUGCGUGCUGUGUACACGCGUAGAAUGUACG